rnacentral:rRNA from 1 species
GACGAACGCUGGCGGCGUGCCUAAUACAUGCAAGUCGAACGAACCGCGACUGAGUGCUUGCACUUGGUCAAGGUGAGUGGCGAACGGGUGAGUAACACGUGGGUAACCUACCUCAUAGUGGGGGAUAACAGUCGGAAACGACUGCUAAUACCGCAUAGGACAUAGGAUCACAUGAUCCAGUGAGGAAAGGUGGCGCAAGCUAUCGCUAAGAGAUGGACCCGCGGUGCAUUAGCUAGUUGGUAGGGUAAAGGCCUACCAAGGCGAUGAUGCAUAGCCGACCUGAGAGGGUGAUCGGCCACAUUGGGACUGAGACACGGCCCAAACUCCUACGGGAGGCAGCAGUAGGGAAUCUUCCGCAAUGGACGCAAGUCUGACGGAGCAACGCCGCGUGAGUGAAGAAGGUCUUCGGAUCGUAAAGCUCUGUUGUUAGAGAAGAACAGCGCAUAGAGUAACUGCUAUGCGUGUGACGGUAUCUAACCAGAAAGCCACGGCUAACUACGUG